rnacentral:lncRNA from 1 species
UUUAUUUAUGACUUCUUACAACCCCUAAGGGAUAAUAAAAAUUUAAAAUUGAAAGUUAACAAAACAUGAAAUUUUUACUUAUAAACCGAAAACAAGUUCUAUUCAUUACAUGCAAAAGAGGAAGAAAAAAAAUGGCUCAAUUUUUCAUACUUAUUUAUGCUUUGAUAAUCUUUCUUUCUCUAUUUCUUGUUGCAACUGGUAGAAGUAUGCUAUUUUUCACACCAUUUUUUAAUUUUCUAAUUUAUCUUAUAUACAAUAUUAUAUAUUUUGGUUCCAAUUUUCUAAUUUUCUAUUUCUUGACAUUGCAGCUCGCACUUCCUGCAAGACUGACGAUGAUUGUCUAGACCUAUAUUUACCUCCAAUUUUGAAGUGUGUUGAUAACCUUUGUGAGUUCAGGUUAUGGCACAAUAAUUUAGUUUAAAAAUAAUCAUGUUAUUUUCUAGUGUAUAAUUUUUUAUUUAUUUUUAAUCAAACAAACUUAUUGCAUUAACUGGUAAAUGUUUAAUACAUAAGGGAAUAGUCUCAAAUCUACGAAAAUUAGAUGAAAAAUUGGCCGCCCAAAUAAGAGUAUGAGCAUUUUCGAGUGUAUAAUUAAUUUUACUUGUAUGUCAUAAUAUUCAUACUUUUAUAAUUUACAUCAAAAUUAAAUUUAUGUUUCUCCGUUCUUUCAAAUUAUUAUUUUUUAUAUAGAUCGUCCUUUCAAUUUUAAGAGAAAGGAUAAAAGUGUAUUAUUAUAUUUUGCAAGUAUUUUUGCCUUCAUUUUCUUAUAGAAUACUUCCUUCGUCCCAAAUUAUAAGAGAAAAAAAAAAUUGUUUUUUUUUUCUCUCAAAUUAUAAGAGAAAAACUAUUUUCAAGAAUUUUUUUCCUUAAUCUCAUAAAAUUUAAUGCAAAUUGCAUUUAAUUUUCUCUCUCCCCUUUUCUCAAUAAAUAACGACCAAUAAGAAUUGCAUUUACAUCUUUCCAUGCAACUUAUUUCAAGGAAAAUCCACAAAAACAUAUUUCAAAUUAUCAUGUUUUACUUUUUCUUAAUAAGUGUGAUUUUUGUUUUUUCUCUUAUAAUUUAAGACGGAGAAAAUAUAUCGCAAAUAACAUUGUCAUAGCAUAAUUUUUUUUUUGACGAAAUGUCAUAGCAUAAUUAUAACAAGCUACUAUAAGACAUGUUUAGCCAACUUUUUUUUUUGGUGGGUCGCCGAAAAAUUAUAACAUAUAAAUUAAAUGCUAAAAUUAUAUUAUAUAUAACAAUUGAAGUUGUAAUAACUACAAAGUUGAUCACAAGAGAUGAAGUGAAAUAUCAUAAGUUUGCUCCCGUAAAAAACAGUUGGUCAUUCAAAAAUUAAAAUGCAUACUUUAAGAUAAUAUUUACAUGUACCAAGUGAUUCAAAAUAAUUAAUAAUUAAGUUUGAACUAAUACUUGCAUUAAACUGAUCAUCAAAAAAUUAUACUGUAUUUUACUUUGCACAAUAAAAUUUAUUGUUUUUAAAGAAACAAAACACAAAAAUUAAAAAAAGCAGUCCGGAGGACUCAAACCAACGCCACAUAUUGGUGUAGGAAUCUGAUGACAGCCAAUUAUAUGAUGUUUUUAGUAGUAGAUUAGAGUAGUUUCUGUAGUAAAUAAAGACCAAAAGCAAGGAAAUAUCAGAAAAAGUGAAGACACAAGGACCAGAAGCAAGAAAAGUGGAAAAAAUAGCAAAAAAGAACAAAAAUGGAAUAAAGAAGCGCACCAUCGUACCCACGAUGAGUCUGGGCGUGGCGCGAUGAGAAGACUGAUAAAAUUGAAGAAAAUCUGCUGAAAAUCUUUACCAUCGUGGCACGAUAGCUUGUCAUCGUGGCACGAUGAUGACUUAAAAAAUAAGCAGAAAAUCCAGAGUAAAUCUUCCAUCGUACCACGAUAGGAUCCAUCGUGGCCACGAUGAGGCAAAAUUACACGCCAUCGUGGCCACGAUGGGUGCGAUGGAGGCGCAAAAAAAGUCUAAACCCAGCUGUAAAACUAUAAAUAGAGCUUUUCUCCUUCACAAUUAUUCAUUACACAAUAUUCAGAGCAUUGAUAUUCACAAGAGAGUUAGGAGAACUCUAAGGAGGAGGCAAGGAGGCCAAGGAACUCCAAGGCCAAUAAGGUUCUUUUCUUUUUGUCUUUGUAAUUUAUUUUUCCUAGGUUAGGUGGAGUCGAGAAACUCCCUUACGAAUGCUUGGUUGUAAUAUUUAUAAUAUUUAUGAAUUUUAGUUAUUUAUAUUCAAACUCUUUUGU